rnacentral:rRNA from 1 species
CUAGUAAUCGCGAAUCAGAAUGUCGCGGUGAAUGCGUCCCCGGGUCUUGUACACACCGCCCGUCACACCAUGGGAGUCGGAAAUGCCCGAAGUCUGUGACCCAACCUAAAGGAGGGAGCAGCCGAAGGCAGGUCGGAUGACUGGGGUGAAGUCGUAACAAGGUAUC